rnacentral:rRNA from 1 species
AUGGCACUGCAAAGCAUUGGUGCUUCAAACAGGGAUGAUGCCUUGUACAGGUGCAAGAUGCCUAGAAUCCUAACCGAAGUAAAAGGAUGUGGUAGGCAUCAACAUGAGGGAGCGAAGAGCGAACUGGAGGCCACCUACUCGCGCAAUAGCUACACUCCGUCGUCGUUCUAUCCAAAGGCUCUCAAGUAUAAUGUUGGAAUAACACAACUGCUGAAAAAACCGUUGAAGAAGACGCAAUGGUUGCUAAUGGAGCAGACUUAG